CCGGUUACUUGACCCGGUGAGCAAAGGGAGUCGUCCCUGUUUUGAGGAAGUAGCCACACAUGCUAUUUGUUAGCUUGUGUGAUUCGGCAGUUCUUGUGCAAUCCCAAGCGAUUCAAUUAUCUGACCUGUUUGUUAGGUCCAGCGUUCACAUUUAAUCUUGCCUCUUGAUGGAUUCUCCGGCGCAGCGUUUUAUUUUUGGAGCGGAGCUUCGAGCGGAAGAUGGCAAAAGCACUGAUGGAAGCCUUCCCUCUGAUGCCAGAUGUAGAUUUUGACACAA